rnacentral:rRNA from 1 species
GUUUGAUCCUGGCUCAGGAUGAACGCUGGCGGCGUGCUUAACACAUGCAAGUCGAACGGUGAAGCAGAGCUUGCUCUGUGGAUCAGUGGCGAACGGGUGAGUAACACGUGAGCAACCUGCCCCUGACUCUGGGAUAAGCGCUGGAAACGGCGUCUAAUACUGGAUAUGAGCUGCGAUCGCAUGGUCAGCAGUUGGAAAGAUUUUUCGGUCUGGGAUGGGCUCACGGCCUAUCAGCUUGUUGGUGAGGUAAUGGCUCACCAAGGCGUCGACGGGUAGCCGGCCUGAGAGGGUGACCGGCCACACUGGGACUGAGACACGGCCCAGACUCCUACGGGAGGCAGCAGUGGGGAAUAUUGCACAAUGGGCGAAAGCCUGAUGCAGCAACGCCGCGUGAGGGAUGACGGCCUUCGGGUUGUAAACCUCUUUUAGCAGGGAAGAAGCGAAAGUGACGGUACCUGCAGAAAAAGCGCCGGCUAACUACGUGCCAGCAGCCGCGGUAAUACGUAGGGCGCAAGCGUUAUCCGGAAUUAUUGGGCGUAAAGAGCUCGUAGGCGGUUUGUCGCGUCUGCUGUGAAAUCCCGAGGCUCAACCUCGGGUCUGCAGUGGGUACGGGCAGACUAGAGUGCGGUAGGGGAGAUUGGAAUUCCUGGUGUAGCGGUGGAAUGCGCAGAUAUCAGGAGGAACACCGAUGGCGAAGGCAGAUCUCUGGGCCGUUACUGACGCUGANGAGCGAAAGGGUGGGGAGCAAACAGGCUUAGAUACCCUGGUAGUCCACCCCGUAAACGUUG